rnacentral:rRNA from 1 species
AGCGGGAAAUGCUCAAAUUUAAAAUCUGGCAGUCUUUGGCUGUCCGAGUUGUAAUUUAGAGAAGCGUCUUCCGCAUCGGGCCGUGCACAAGUCUCCUGGAAUGGAGCGUCAUAGAGGGUGAGAAUCCCGUCUCUGGCACGGACUUUCGAGGCUUUUGUGAUGCGCUCUCAAAGAGUCGAGUUGUUUGGGAAUGCAGCUCAAAAUGGGUGGUGAACUCCAUCUAAAGCUAAAUAUUGGCGAGAGACCGAUAGCGAACAAGUACCGUGAGGGAAAGAUGAAAAGCACUUUGGAAAGAGAGUGAAACAGUACGUGAAAUUGUUGAAAGGGAAACGCUUGAAGUCAGUCGCGUCGACCGAGACUCAGCCUUGCCUCGGCUUGGUGUACUUCUCGGCUGAUGGGCCAGCAUCAAUUUCAUCCUUCGGAUAAUGGCAAGGGAAAGGUGGCACCCUUAUGGGUGUGUUAUAGUCUCCUGUCGCAUACGAGGGCCGAGAUUGAGGAUCUCAGCACGCACCUUUCGGUGUCGGGGCUUCGGCCCACGCUUACGUGCUUUAGGAUGUUGGCGUAAUGGCUUUAAACGACCCGUCUUGAAACACGGACCAAGGAGUCUAACAUGCCCGCGAGUGUUCGGGUGGAAAACCCGUGCGCGAAAUGAAAGUGAAAGUUGGGACCUCUGUCGUGGAGGGCACCAAUGCCCGGACCAGACCUUCUGUGACGGAUCUGCGGUAGAGCGUGCAUGUUGGGACCCGAAAGAUGGKGAACUAUGCCUGGAAUAGGGGUGAAGCCAGAAGGAAACUCUUGGUGGAGGCUCCGUAACCGAUUCUUGACGUG